rnacentral:lncRNA from 1 species
UUUUAUUGUAUUAAUUUAUUAAAUAUUAAAAAUUAAAGAUCCAUGGCGUGCGCCUAGCGCCUAGAGGCUUAUGCCUUGCCCUAAUACGUAAAAUGCCUUUCCUCGCGCCUCGAGGCUUUCAGUGUUUUCUAUUAUAAGGCAAACACAAAGAGGAGUCUCUCAAUAGACUGGUUGAGAUGUUCUUUAACAAGCAUCCAAUGCUAAUGACAGUAUCAGCAAACUAACAUUCUUUUGUAUUUUUCAAGCUCCAUAUAUUCUUGUAUAGUCAGAGAGCCAAAAGAUUUGGUUAUAGCAGAUCAUCAACAUAGGCCUUCU